UUAGGGCUAGCCUCAAGUGAUGAUUAUUGGAGGUAGAGCACUGUUUGGACGAGGGGCCCCUCUCGGGUUACCGAAUUCAGACAAACUCCGAAUGCCAAUUAAUUUAACUUGGGAGUCAGAACAUGGGUGAUAAGGUCCGUGUUCGAAAGGGAAACAGCCCAGACCACCAGCUAAGGUCCCAAAAUAUAUGUUAAGUGGAAAAGGAUGUGGCGUUGCCCAGACAACUAGGAUGUUGGCUUAGAAGCAGCCAUCAUUUAAAGAGUGCGUAAUAGCUCACUAGUCGAGUGACACUGCGCCGAAAAUGUACCGGGGCUAAACAUAUUACCGAAGCUGUGGAUUGUCCUUUGGACAAUGGUAGGAGAGCGUUCUAAGGGCGUUGAAGCAUGAUCGUAAGGACAUGUGGAGCGCUUAGAAGUGAGAAUGCCGGUGUGAGUAGCGAAAGACGGGUGAGAAUCCCGUCCACCGAUUGACUAAGGUUUCCAGAGGAAGGCUCGUCCGCUCUGGGUUAGUCGGGUCCUAAGCUGAGGCCGACAGGCGUAGGCGAUGGAUAACAGGUUGAUAUUCCUGUACCACCUAUAAUCGUUUUA
rnacentral:rRNA from 1 species